CCCAACAAGCAAGCACAGAUGUUCCGUCUAACAAUACGUGCCAGCAAAGAAAGUGUUACAAGAGAAAUUUGCGAUAUACUAACAGACCAAUUUUAAAAAAUGUUAUGUGGCAGAUUCACCACCCAAGUUCCACUAUAUAUUUCCAUGCAAAAAAGGGAAAUACGUGACGAUAUGAUAACGCUUCAAACCAAUAGCAGUCAUUUAUGUCUCGUCGUCUUCGUCUCGCCAACAUCUACAAUAACCCAGAUAUAUUUUUAAUUCAAAUUCGAAAUAUUUUUUAUUAAAAAGUAAUAUGGAAAUGAGUUAUAUAUCUGGUGUUGUGUGUUAUGUGCAAAAGUUUAUAAUGUAUAAUUCAUAGAAUUUACAUAAGGACUAUACUUCAGUAAAAAAAUAAUAAUGAAUUACUUGAUAUAAUUCCAACAAAGAAUACUUUUGUUUAAAAAACUAAUGUUGCAUACUACUAUAAAUAUAUAUAUUAAACAAUACAACAACAACCACAGACAUACAUUAAUGUUAAUAUUACAAAUAAAAUAAAACAAAACAUGAAAAUAUUCUGGUAGAAAUAAGUUUCCAAGUAAGAUAAAUACGAAAACCAAACAAAACCCCUUCUACCCCUCAAAUUCAUUAUCUAUAAAAAUAAUGGAGCCUUUAUUGCAUUCUCUUUUGUGUUUUUAUUUUGAAAAUAUUAUUGUUUGUUUAUAUAGAAGAAACGAGAGUUGUUAUAAUAGAAACCUUAAAAGAUUUGGAAAA
rnacentral:sRNA from 1 species